GACAGAGGGUGCAACGUUGUUCGGAAUUACUGGGCGUAAAGCGCGUGUAGGCGGUUCGUAAAGUCGGGUGUGAAAGCCCUGGGCUUAACCCAGGAAGUGCACUCGAAACUCACGAACUUGAGUCCCGGAGAGGAAGGCGGAAUUCUCGGUGUAGAGGUGAAAUUCGUAGAUAUCGAGAGGAACAUCGGUGGCGAAGGCGGCCUUCUGGACGGUGACUGACGCUGAGACGCGAAAGCGUGGGGAGCAAACAGGAUAG
rnacentral:rRNA from 1 species